rnacentral:lncRNA from 1 species
UUAAGGUAUAAGGUUUGGGUUUAGGGUUUAGAGUUUGGGUUUAGAAUUUAGGAUUUAGGUUUAGAUUUAAGAUCACAUUCCAUAAAUCAAGCUCAAUCAAAUAGGAGAAUCAACAAUAAUAAUUUCGAUAAAAAUUAUUUAAUCAAAAUUUUAACUUUUCCAACAACAAAAACCUAAACUUCUGUAAAAUAGAAUUCCUUUUAACAUCAUCCAACAACAAGAAGCAAUUCACCUAUCUAUUCAACUAAGAGUUUCGGAUGAUUCGUAUUAAAAUGACAAAUCCACUGUUAUUUAAACGAAGAUUUAAAAAAACACUCUAUCCACACUGUUAUUGAACAAAAUUUAAGUUGAAAAUUUUUAGAGUACUUUAAUUUUUUUAGGGUGUUUGAGAGAGGUUUCUUAGUUAUAAAAAUAAAUAUCUAAAUCUCAUGAUUUUAGAUGAGAGUAAAGUUGGUUAACAAAAAUCACAUCAAAUUAUAAUAUUCACUUAAAAUCAUCUAAAACUCACUAAAAUCAAAUCACUCCAAAUUUGAGGUUCAAUACACCCUCUCCACAAGAAGAACCUCCAACACUCGCCAAUGAUCCUAAAUCUUAGCAACCACAAUCAUAAGAAAUUUUGCAUUCGCUCAACUUCAAUUCAUUAUGCUUCACUCGCAUAAGAUGAAGCUGAAGUAUUUGGUUGGUGGAUGAACUGCUCUCAGAUCCCUACUCAACAACUAGGAUUUCCGAAAAUGCUAUGUUUUGUUUUACUCAAGUCUGGCCUCCUAAACUUAAUCGUUAAAAAACAAUUAAGUUUUUUUAAAGAACAAAACUAUAGGUUCACCCUUUAGGGUGAAACUUUAAAUUCACCUCUACUCUUAUUACCAAUUAAAAUAUCAUCUAGAUUAUUAAUAAUAUAGAAUAAUUUUUUUAAAAACAAAUCUGAAAUAAUUGAAAAAAAUAAUGACGUCAAUUUUAAUAACGCUAACGCCACUAACUAAACUCUAAAUCCAAAUUCUAAACCCAAAACUUUAAAUCUAAACCCUAAAUUUUAAAUCCAAACUCAAAUUCUAAACUCAAACCCUAUACCUUAAACCCAAAUCCUAAACCUUAAACCCAAACCGUAAACCUUAAACCCAAACCCUAUAUCCUAAACCCAAAUCUUAGAUCCUUAACCCAAACCGUAAACCCAAAACCCAAAAUCCAAAUCCUAAACCCAAAUCCUAGACUCUAAAUCUUUAACCCAAACCCUAGACUCUAUACUCAAACCAUAUACCCAAACCCAAUCACUAGACCCUAAACUCAAAUCGUAAACCCUAAACCCAAAUCCUAUACCCUAAAAGUUUGAGUUAAUGGUGAUGUUAUUCUUUUACUGUUUAAGGUUUGAGUUUAGAGUCUAGGGUUUGAGUUUAGGUUAUAGGAUUUGGGUUUAGGGUUUACGGUUUACGGUUUACGGUUUGGGUUUAGGAUUUAGGAUUUGGGUUUAAGGUAUAAGGUUUGGGUUUAGGGUUUAGAGUUUGGGUUUAGAAUUUAGGAUUUAGGUUUAGAUUUAAGGUUUAGGGUUUAGAAUUUAUGAUUUAGGGUUUAGUUAGUGGCGUUAGCGUCAUUAAAAUUGGCGUCAUUAUUUUUUUUUCAAUUAUUUUAGAUUGUUUUAAUAAAAU